AGAGUUUGAUCAUGGCUCAGAUUGAACGCUGGCGGCAGGCCUAACACAUGCAAGUCGAACGGUAACAGGAAGCAGCUUGCUGCUUCGCUGACGAGUGGCGGACGGGUGAGUAAUGUCUGGGAAACUGCCUGAUGGAGGGGGAUAACUACUGGAAACGGUGGCUAAUACCGCAUAACGUCGCAAGACCAAAGAGGGGGACCUUCGGGCCUCUUGCCAUCAGAUGUGCCCAGAUGGGAUUAGCUUGUUGGUGAGGUAACGGCUCACCAAGGCGACGAUCCCUAGCUGGUCUGAGAGGAUGACCAGCCACACUGGAACUGAGACACGGUCCAGACUCCUACGGGAGGCAGCAGUGGGGAAUAUUGCACAAUGGGCGCAAGCCUGAUGCAGCCAUGCCGCGUGUAUGAAGAAGGCCUUCGGGUUGUAAAGUACUUUCAGCGGGGAGGAAGGUGUUGUGGUUAAUAACCGCAGCAAUUGACGUUACCCGCAGAAGAAGCACCGGCUAACUCCGUGCCAGCAGCCGCGGUAAUACGGAGGGUGCAAGCGUUAAUCGGAAUUACUGGGCGUAAAGCGCACGCAGGCGGUCUGUCAAGUCGGAUGUGAAAUCCCCGGGCUCAACCUGGGAACUGCAUUCGAAACUGGCAGGCUUGAGUCUUGUAGAGGGGGGUAGAAUUCCAGGUGUAGCGGUGAAAUGCGUAGAGAUCUGGAGGAAUACCGGUGGCGAAGGCGGCCCCCUGGACAAAGACUGACGCUCAGGUGCGAAAGCGUGGGAGCAAACAGGAUUAGAUACCCUGGUAGUCCACGCCGUAAACGAUGUCUACUUGGAGGUUGUGCCCUUGAGGCGUGGCUUCCGGAGCUAACGCGUUAAGUAGACCGCCUGGGGAGUACGGCCGCAAGGUUAAAACUCAAAUGAAUUGACGGGGGCCCGCACAAGCGGUGGAGCAUGUGGUUUAAUUCGAUGCAACGCGAAGAACCUUACCUGGUCUUGACAUCCACAGAACUUUCCAGAGAUGGAUUGGUGCCUUCGGGAACUGUGAGACAGGUGCUGCAUGGCUGUCGUCAGCUCGUGUUGUGAAAUGUUGGGUUAAGUCCCGCAACGAGCGCAACCCUUAUCCUUUGUUGCCAGCGAUUAGGUCGGGAACUCAAAGGAGACUGCCAGUGAUAAACUGGAGGAAGGUGGGGAUGACGUCAAGUCAUCAUGGCCCUUACGACCAGGGCUACACACGUGCUACAAUGGCGCAUACAAAGAGAAGCGACCUCGCGAGAGCAAGCGGACCUCAUAAAGUGCGUCGUAGUCCGGAUUGGAGUCUGCAACUCGACUCCAUGAAGUCGGAAUCGCUAGUAAUCGUGGAUCAGAAUGCCACGGUGAAUACGUUCCCGGGCCUUGUACACACCGCCCGUCACACCAUGGGAGUGGGUUGCAAAAGAAGUAGGUAGCUUAACCUUCGGGAGGGCGCUUACCACUUUGUGAUUCAUGACUGGGGUGAAGUCGUAACAAGGUAACCGUAGGGGAACCUGCGGUUGGAUCACCU
rnacentral:rRNA from 1 species